AGUAAAAGUCGUAACAAGGUUUCUCCCGUGAGGGGUCCUAUAUAAUGUUUUGGUUAUUAUAUAUCGUCUAUUGAAGCCUUGGAUUCAAACGCAAGUUUGCAGUCCGCCUUCGCGCGGGCGACAUCCGUCUGUUGCUGGAAAAGUCUCUUUCGAGGGGUUUAUCAGCAGCCGUAUGCUUACAAUCAUAUGGUUCACAGAUCAAACUCGGGUGGCCUUUGUUCAAAGAGACUAAGGUUAAGAUAUGACCGUAGCAAGCCUGUAAAGGGUUUGAUUACUAGUUCCGUAGGUGAACCUGCGGAAGGAUCAUUACCGAGAGAGGGGCUUCGCGCCCCCGGGGGGGUUUCGGCCCCCCUACCUCUUCAACCCUGUGUCUAUCAAUCUUUGUUGCUUUGGCGAGCGCCGGGGUGCCUUGCGCCUCGGCCCCGGCUUCGGUCGGUGCGCUCUCGUCAGAGGCCCUUUUCCACGUUGUUCUUAGUGACGUCCGAGUGAAACACAAUAAAUUAAAACUUUCAACAACGGAUCUCUUGGUUCUGGCAUCGAUGAAGAACGCAGCGAAAUGCGAUAAGUAAUGUGAAUUGCAGAAUUCAGUGAAUCAUCGAAUCUUUGAACGCACAUUGCGCCCCUUGGUAUUCCGGGGGGCAUACCUGUUCGAGCGUCAUUAAAACCCUCAAGCCUUGCUUGGUAUUGAGCCUUCGCCGGCGACGGCGUGCUCGCAAAUUAGUGGCGGUCCAGGACGACUUCAAGCGCAGUAAAUCUUUCCGCUUUCGAGGUCUCGUCCGUGACCCAGCCGUGAACCCUUUUACUUUCUACAAUGACCUCGGAU
rnacentral:rRNA from 1 species